GGCGUGCUUAACACAUGCAAGUCGAACGAUGAAGAGCAGCUUGCUGCUUGGAUUAGUGGCGCACGGGUGAGUAAUAUAUAGGUAAUGUGCCUCUUAGUCUGGGAUAGCCAUUGGAAACGAUGAUUAAUACUGGAUACUCCUUCUAACUCUAAUGUUAGUCGGGAAAGUUUUUCGCUAAGAGAUCAGCCUAUAUCCCAUCAGUUAGUUGGUAAGGUAACGGCUUACCAAGGCAAUGACGGGUAGCGGGUUUGAGAGGAUGAUCCGCCACACUGGUACUGAGACACGGACCAGACUCCUACGGGAGGCAGCAGUGAGGAAUAUUGCACAAUGGGGGAAACCCUGAUGCAGCAACGCCGCGUGGAGGAUGACGCAUUUCGGUGUGUAAACUCCUUUUAUAUGUCAAGAAAAUGACGGUAGCAUAUGAAUAAGCACCGGCUAACUCCGUGCCAGCAGCCGCGGUAAUACGGAGGGUGCAAGCGUUACUCGGAAUCACUGGGCGUAAAGGACGCGUAGGCGGAUUGGAAAGUCAGAUGUGAAAUCCUACAGCUUAACUGUAGAACUGCAUUUGAAACUUCUAAUCUAGAGUAUGGGAGGGGGAGAUGGAAUUAGUGGUGUAGGGGUAAAAUCCGUAGAUAUCACUAGGAAUACCGAAAGCGAAGGCGAUCUCCUGGAACAUUACUGACGCUAAGGCGUGAAAGCGUGGGGAGCAAACAGGAUUAGAUACCCUGGUAGUCCACGCCCUAAACGAUGAACACUAGUCGUCGGGAUGCUUGUCAUCUCGGUGAUGCACUUAACAGAUUAAGUGUUCCGCCUGGGGAGUACGGUCGCAA
rnacentral:rRNA from 1 species